GGAGAGAUGGCUGAGAGGUCGAAAGCGGCGGUCUCGAAAACCGUUGAGCGGGCAACCCCCGUUCCCAGGGUUCGAAUCCCUGUCUCUCCGCCA
rnacentral:tRNA from 1 species